UACAGAGGUCUCAAGCGUUGUUCGGAUUCAUUGGGCGUAAAGGGUGCGCAGGCUGUGUGGUAAGUCGGGUGUGAAAUUUAGGGGCUCAACCCCUAAACUGCAUUCGAUACUGCCAUGCUAGAGGACUGUAGAGGAGAUUGGAAUUCACGGUGUAGCAGUGAAAUGCGUAGAUAUCGUGAGGAAGACCAGUGGCGAAGGCGAAUCUCUGGGCAGUUCCUGACGCUCAUGCACGAAGGCCAGGGGAGCAAACGGG
rnacentral:rRNA from 1 species